rnacentral:rRNA from 1 species
GACGAACGCUGGCGGCGUGCUUAACACAUGCAAGUCGAACGGAAAGGCCCUGCUUUUGUGGGGUGCUCGAGUGGCGAACGGGUGAGUAACACGUGAGUAACCUGCCCUUGACUUUGGGAUAACUUCAGGAAACUGGGGCUAAUACCGGAUAGGAGCUCCUGCUGCAUGGUGGGGGUUGGAAAGUUUCGGCGGUUGGGGAUGGACUCGCGGCUUAUCAGCUUGUUGGUGGGGUAGUGGCUUACCAAGGCUUUGACGGGUAGCCGGCCUGAGAGGGUGACCGGCCACAUUGGGACUGAGAUACGGCCCAGAAUCCUACGGGAGGCAGCAGUGGGGAAUAUUGCGCAGUGGGCGGAAGCCAGAUGCAGCAACGCCGCGUGCGGGAUGACGGCCUUCGAGUUGUAAACCGCUUUCGCCUGUGACGAAGCGUGAGUGACGGUAAUGGGUAAGGAAGCACCGGCUAACUACGUG